rnacentral:lncRNA from 1 species
AAGUGCAGUCAAUAAUACACCUUGAAGAGUGCAUCGCCAGGGACUUCUUCGACCGCGUUCCGCAAGAUGCCAUCGAGGACAUGUUUUGUGACUUUCUCAAGAAUGUGCAAGUUACUUCGGCUGCUGCCUUGAAAGCAAAGGGCUUACUAAUGCUGAUAUUCAAGGACAAAUGUUUGUGAAAUAUUCGAGCUUUCUGACUACCUCAGCCAAAUGUUUCCAGAUUCCAUCAACAACAGAAGGAACGAAAUAAAGUAACGCAUUCUGAAUA